rnacentral:sRNA from 1 species
CUCGGUGAACAUCCAUUACAAGUCACCCACCACUGCCGGCUUCAGCCAGCGCCGCAACCAUGCCAUGUGCCCGAUCUCGGCGGGCAGCCGGCCCCUGGAAUUCUUCCCUGACGACGACUGCACGUCCUCCGCCCGUCGAGAGCAGAAGCGCGAGCAGUACCGCCAGGUGCGUGAGCACGUGCGUAACGACGACGGCCGUCUGCAGGCCUGCGGCUGGAGCCUGCCCGCCAAGUACAAGCAGGUGCGGGCGGGCGCUGUGGGGACCGGGCGGGGCCCGGGUAAGGGGCGGGGCGCUGUGGGGCUGGGUGAGGGCGGGGCGAAGGUUGGGCAGUGCCAGGGGGUGGGAGGG